rnacentral:rRNA from 1 species
UACGGAGGAUGCGAGCGUUAUCCGGAUUUAUUGGGUUUAAAGGGUGCGUAGGUGGUAGAUUAAGUCAGCGGUGAAAGUUUGUCGCUUAACGAUAAAAUUGCCGUUGAAACUGGUUUACUUGAGUAUAGUUGAAGUAGGCGGAAUGCGUGGUGUAGCGGUGAAAUGCUUAGAUAUCACGCAGAACUCCGAUUGCGAAGGCAGCUUACUAAGCUAUAACUGACGCUCAUGCACGAAAGCGUGGGGAUCAAACAGG